rnacentral:sRNA from 1 species
UUCCCUCAUUUAAUUUAAUUAUGGGAAGGUCUAACUUUGGAUAACAUUUUUGCAUUAAACUAGAUUUUAACCCGCGGUGUACCGCGGGGACAAUUUGUUUUUUAAAAUUAGUAUAUAUAAAAACUUGUAAACUAUAUCUAUCUAUAAAAUAUUUUUAUUUUAUAGUUUACAACUGUUAUUAAGUAACGUCCUGCCAAACCCGUCCCGCAAAACCCAUCCUGCAAAAAAAAACAUUUAUUUUAUUAAUGUUGAUCUUAUUUAUGAAUCAUUGUCUAAAUAUUUUAGUCGAUGCGGGAUGUUGAACCCACACAUUUUUCGCCAAUCGGUUAAUAUAUGUUCAUUUUUAAAAUUUUGAAUCACAAAAUAUGACGGAAUUUUUUUUGAGAUUUUUUAAACUAUAUAUUAUAUAAUGAUGUUAAAUUUUUUGAUAUAUUAAACUUUUUAUAAGUUUAAAUAUUAAUAAUGUUUUAUAAAGUUUAAAUAUAUAAAUAAUAAUAUUUUAAAAUAUAUAUAUUUUUUGCCUUUUAGGUAAUGACAUAAUAACUCUAAAAGUAAAGAUUUAGAAGAUUUAAAUCGUUAAUUAAAUAUUUUCAUUUCUAAAUAAUUAAUG